AUCUCUAGCCGCCGCCCCCCUGGGGAUCCCUCCCGAUCCAAACCUACCAACCAGCGCUCUCCACUGCUCCUCCCCGAUUUGCUCGGCCGCCCAACCAGAGUAGCUCCUCGAUCCACUCCACACCAACCCCCAUCGCCCUCCUCCCGUGCUUCCCGCGCGCCGCCACAAGCAGCAGCACCACCGGAGCUCCCUUCGCCGUCAGGCACCACCAGCAGGUUGCCGUAUCCUCGUGCCCCCUUCUUCCCUUUCUCUGGUUCUCCUCCUCUAACCAUAUCUCUCUGCUGCUCGUGAACCAGCGUCGGUCGCCGCCAUCCCGUUCGUCUUCCAGCAGAAGCUCUACACCACCCCCAAGCUGCUCCGCCUCCGCGCCAUGGACGGCCCCGACCACCGCUCAGCCCUUGCCUCGUCGACAUCCUGUGCACAUCGCAGCGAGCGACCGAGCACUCAACCCCGCGCCGCUGAGUCUGUUUGGCGCUCGCACCCGAACUCCUACCGCUCAAUCCGGGGCGUCCACGCGCUGACAAUCCUCCUCUUCCUCGCCUCGUCGCCGGCGAGCCCCGCCACCAUCGACGGCCGAAGCCCCAGGGAACUGAGCUGCCAUGGCCGUCCCGACCCCCUGCUGCCUCGAGCGCCCGCGCAGGACCUCGUCGGACCACCAAGCGCCAACCUCCCGAGCAGGAGCUCUCGUCGCAGCUGCAGUUCACUCGCGUCGCCGCCAACUCCCUCUGCCUCGAACGCUCGCCCGCCUCCAGCGCCCUCCUGGCCCCGUCCCGCGCCGUGGCCCAGCUCCUCCGCCGGCCUCCACUGCCAGCGCCAUGCGCGCUACCCCUCCUGCUGCCGUGCUGCUCUGUUCUGUCGAAGACAGCGAGCGCCCGCAGCUUCCUGCUCGCCUGGAUCGACCCAAUCCGGAUCGAUCUGGCCCGCUUGGGCCUCAUCCACAACCGCGCCAGCCCAACGCCCCCCUCCUGCUACCUCUCCACAGUUCUGGGCAAGGACCAUGUCCCCGUUUCGUUGCGACUGUGAUGAUUCGUUCGACUACGUGGGAUCAUCUUUACCAUGGACACGUUCUUCUUCCUAGCGCGAUUCCAGG